GUGUCAGCCGCCGCGGUAAUACAGAGGUCCCAAGCGUUGUUCGGAUUCACUGGGCGUAAAGGGUGCGCAGGUGGGUUGGCAAGUUUGACGUGAAAGCCCCGGGCUUAACCCGGGAAUGGCGUUGAAAACUGCUGAUCUGGAGGAUCGGAGGGGGGACUGGAAUUCUUGGUGUAGCAGUGAAAUGCGUAAAUAUCAAGAGGAACACCAGUGGCGAAGGCGAGUCCCUGGACGAUACCUGACACUGAGGCACGAAAGCCAAGGGAGCAAACAGGAUUAGAUACCCCGGUAGUCC
rnacentral:rRNA from 1 species